rnacentral:rRNA from 1 species
AUUGAACGCUGGCGGCAGGCUUAACACAUGCAAGUCGAGCGAGCGGCGGACGGGUGAGUAAUGUCUGGGAAACUGCCUGAUGGAGGGGGAUAACUACUGGAAACGGUAGCUAAUACCGCAUACCAUCAGAGGUGCCCAUAUGGGAUUAGCUAGUAGGUGGGGUAAAGGCUCACAUAGGCGACGAGCCCUAGCUGGUCUGAGAGGAUGACCAGCCACACUUGGACUGAGACACGGUCCAGACUCCUACGGGAGGCAGCAGUGGGGAAUAUUGGACAAUGGGCGCAAGCCUGAUGCAGCCAUGCCGCGUGUGUGAAGAAGGCCUUCGGGUUGUAAAGCACUUUCAGCGAGGAGGCGUUACUCGCAGAAUAAGCACCGGCUAACUCCGUGCCAGCAGCCGCGGUAAUAC